AGCUUUGUGCAGUGGCAGUAUCAUAGCCAAUGAGGUUUAUCCAAGGUGCGAUUAUUGCUCAUCGAAACUAAAAUACACAAAGAAAUCUUUAACCUGAAUAGGAAAACAAUCUGAUAUAAAUAUG
rnacentral:snRNA from 1 species